AAGCAACCAACAGCUAGCUUACAGUUGUAAACAACAGAAAACAGCUAAAUUAUUUUAACUGAUUGGACUAUAAAUAUUUUAAGAUGCCCGCCCACUGCGCCGUGAUAAAUUGUAGCCAUAAAUAUGUGCACGCGGGCAGCAUUUCAUUUCAUAGAUUUCCCUUCAAGCGGAAAGAUCUUCUACAGAAAUGGAAGGAAUUUACCCAGAGGAGUGGUCAGUGGAUGCCCUCAAAAUGGAGUGCGCUGUGCAGUCGGCAUUUUGUUGAUGAGGACUUUAAUUGCAGCCAUAAUCGGAAAACGCUGAAAAAGAAUGCUGUGCCAUCAAUUAGAGUUUCGGAAGAAGACUCCAUAAAUGGGCACCUGGAACAGUUGUCACCAAGCAAUAGGCCUACGCACAAGCAAACUCUCUCCAGAGCCGCCGAAUCGGCAGCAACAGGUGUAAAAGCCACCUGCCGCUUUUGUGGUUCGUCUGCCACCAAUUGCACCUCGUUUGACAAGAGUUUUGAGCUCUUUGGUAUGAUCCAGAAGUGCUUUCCUACGCUACAGAUUCUUCAAGACGACACCUUACCGAAGGAAAUAUGCCAGGAGUGCUGCGUGCAACUGGAGCGCUUUUCCCAGUUCAUCGAUGUGGUGAUGUUGGCGCAGAGUGAGUUGCAGAGAAAAUACCGCCGACAGCUGAAAAUCAAACAGGAACCCUUGGUUCGUGUGAAACAGGAGGCCUGCGAGAGUUUGGACAAUCUUUUUCCUGAUGAACUGGACAUGGGUUUGGAGCAGGACGAUGGCUGUGAUCAAGAAGAAACUGAACAAAAGUUUCAGUUCUGCGAUUUUCCUAUGCUAAAUUCCCAAGACAUUAUCAACAAUUGUGACAUCAUGGAAAUUAUCAAUCUAGAUGAUCCGUUUAUCAAUAUUCCAGACGAUGCUGAUGUGGGACAGUCGGAGAGAUUACAGCCUGGAAGAACAGCCAAUGAAAUGCUGCAAAAUGAACUGCUAACUGAAGAGCACAAUUAUGCAAAGGAGGAAUGGCAACUACCCCCGCAUCAGUACAAAACGGAAAAGGUGGAGGGAGCGGAUGCUGUACCAGACGCCGCUCCUCCGCCUGCUGACCCACCUCCUCUUCAGAAUAAUAUAGCUCCCUCAUCAGCUCCCGAGCCGCGCUCAUGCAAACCCAUUGUGACCAAUGUAAGCCAGAUACCCAACCCACUCAUGUGCGAACUGUUGCCACCGCCUGUUUCAUCCACGUCCGUCAAACCCAACAUUGUGGUGCUCAACGAUAGUGUGGUCGAGUCUUCAGCUGCUUUUCGGCUUCACAACUGCACCUUGUGCACUGCUAAAUUUAUAACAAUUGAUAGCUUAAAUCAGCAUUAUGCACACAGUCACGGUAAUUCCACUCCCAUGGUUAGUGUUCCUCCAAUGAAUAUAAGCCUGCCCAGCUUGACUAUAAACCCUCCAAUGAAACUAGAGAGCAACAGGGGAUUUGUGGCUACUGAACAAUUGGAAUACUGGCAGUCAGAGUGGCACAAUAGUCCUGUAUCCAAGCAACCUAGGAAAAAGAUUGAUAUACUGGACAUGCAGAGUAGCUUCCUGCAUCACAAAGACCUCAUACCGACAGCAACUCAACUGUCAGCACCCACACCUGAUCCUCAACUGGUUGCAGUGUCUGCUAGCUACGCUAAACUGGCUAAUAGGUAUCGUAAGUUGCAGCUGAAAUGCAAAAACAUGAAAACUCCAAGGAAGCUGCAUAGAAAAGCUUAUGCUUGCCGGAUGUGCAGGAAGCGAUUUUCCAGCCUCAAGAACUUACUCCACCAUCGUCGCCAGAAAUCACAUUUUGUAAAGUUAAUACCUAAUUUUUCAGGACGCUGUUGUGGUUGCCUGAAGUUCUUUCGAUCCCGCUUGGGUCUUCGCCAGCAUAUGCGAUACAUAUGUCAAUCGUUGUCGCUCAAAAACCAUCGGCGCCUCCAGAGCUUCAAGUGUCGCCACUGCCGGGCCAUUGCCUUUGCUCACUGGCGCCUGUAUCGUCGUCAUGAAGUAAAUUGCAGACCCAGAAAAUCGAAAACGAAGGUGCAGACUGCCUUGAAUUCAAAAAAGAAAGUUACGCCCGCCCAAAUAUUUGAGUGUAAUAUUUGUAAAAAAUCAUUUGGGUCACUCAACGGACUCCGCCAGCAUAAUAUUACCCACUCGACGGAACGGCAACACAAGUGCGGCAUCUGUGAGCGGGUCUUCAAGCGACGCAACGGACUCUCUCAACACAUCAAGGGAUACCACCUGCAGCUCAAGCCGCACGAGUGUCCUGCCUGCCAGCGUCGUUACGCCCUGAAAUGCGAUAUGCUGAGAUGCAGGCAUUCCCUCCGCAAAGGUCCAGCUGCCGGGGAGUGACUGGAAGCCCUGGAGAUGACUCACAAUUCGACAAAGAAAUGGUCUCCCUAGUAAAAGUGUUUACUUAAGCAAAUGCUAUGAUCUUUGAGGAAUCUGAUCUGGAUCUUUAUGUCAGCACUAAACUUAAAGGUACUCCAUGGGGCACUCAGUUGGUGGCCUUCCAAUAAAGCACGCAACGUGAUGAAGGGUUCCCAGCGGGAAGGAAAUUGGUGCUAGUCAAGGUUACUUGUAUUAAGUAAUUUCACUUAAUUAAACUACCGCUUCACUGAGCAGGAACAAGGUUUCGCAGUUUUUAACAAAAUUUUUGAAGAGGUUGG
rnacentral:misc_RNA from 1 species